GGAGGGAUGUCCGAGUUGGUCGAAGGAGCACGCCUGGAAAGUGUGUAUAUGGGCAACUGUAUCAAGGGUUCGAAUCCCUUUCCCUCCG
rnacentral:tRNA from 1 species